CGGCCGCGGAGCUGCAGUGGCGGGGAGUGGGGUGCGGAUCUUGUGUUUGCGCACGCAGUCGCCGGCCACCUCAGGCCGGAGCUAGAGAUACGGCUCGGGAUAGGAGGGCCCGGCGGCUCUGAGGCAGGUUCGCCUCGAGCCGCACGGCCCGGAGCAGCGGCUCCGCGGUGGUCCCCGGGGCUUGAGAGGGGUGCGGGCCUGGGAGCCCCUGAGGGCCUGAUUUACGGAACUCCCCCUCCUUCCUCCUUUCUGCCGUUCCCUGCUCUGUGGCGGAUGCGCAGGGAUCAGUAGGGACGGCAGCAGUAGGGCCACUCGGGCCUGCCCCGCUUCCCGCAUUGCCCGGUUUGGCGCGCCGCCUCCGGGCCUUGGCAAAGCCCCAGCGCCCGAUUGUCACUGACCAGUGCUUGGAAGUCCUUUACCGACUGCCCGUCAGCGUCCCGCGGAGAGGAUUUUGCGUCUCCAAAGACGCCCCUCUUCCGAAAACAGGCUCCUCUGUGUUCUCAGUCGGGUAUAUUUUUCUGUCUCCAAACUAGAUUGGCAGCCGUUUUUUGAGAGCAGGUACUGACUGUGCUUUAUUUCUAGAUACUUUUCUUAGUCACACCACGGAAAACACUAGGUGGAACCUUUUUUAAAAUUAUUUUUUACAGGUGAGGCUCUCAGUCUGUCGCCCAGGCUGGAGUGCAGUGGUGCUAUCACGGCUCACUGCAACCUCGGCCUCCUGGGCGCAAGCGAUCCUCCCGCCUCAGCCUCCGGAGUAGCUGGGACCACAGGCUCGCACUACUAUGCCCAGCUAAUUUUUAAAUUUUUCGUAGAGAUGGGGGUCUUGCUUUGUCGUCCAGGCUGGAGUGCAGUGGUGUGAUCGUAGCUCACUGCAACCUUAGUCCCCUGUGCCCAAGUGACCCUGCUUCCUCAGCCUCCUGAGUAGCUGAGAUUCAUUUUAAUUUUUAUAGUGAUGGGGUCUCGUUGUGUUGACCAGUCUGGUCUAAAACUCCUGAGUUCAAGCAGGCCUCCUGCCUCAGCUUCUCAAAAUGUUGGGAUUACAGGCUUUAGCCACUGCAGCGGGCCCAUCAAACGUUGUAUUUGUCAGUACAUAAUUUACAUGUUAAUUGAUUUUUGUUAAAGGGAUGGCCAUCUGGGACCUCCACCCGUGAAAAGGCGGCUCAUUGGUCUGACUCCAACACUAAAUUACGCCAUCCAGGAAGCCUUUCCUAGUCACCUCUGUUGGAGAUCGUCCUCCUUUGUGUGUCGGUUGUUAGUAAAGAGCACACGUUCUGUGGAAAGAUGUUGAGGUAUCUGCUGGAUGGCUUUGAUAGAAACAAAUGUCAGCUGUUUUUUCAGAUGGCAUUUGUCUUGUUUCAGCCUGGUUGUUGGUAGCUUUUCUGUCGCCUGGCUUGAGGGCAAGGACUGUAUGUUUAUUUUUCACGUUAAGAUGCCUUUAUGUGCAUGUGUCUGUUUCAUGAAUACAUAGGUGAAUUGAGUUCCCCUUAAAUAGGAUUUCCCUCUUAUUUUAUAGGUUUUUUUUUUUCUCUCAAGUUGUUUCACUCUGGGGGAAAUGUGACCAUUGUGAAAUAUCAUCGCUUAGUUAAAAAGAAAGUAGAAUUCAGCAGUAGCUGCUUUUUUUAAUACUAUGAAAAGACAUUCCUAAGCAAGAUGAAGCUUUGAGACUUUUCCUAAGUAGGACCUACUGCUGAGAGUAAGUCUUGGGGAGAAUAAGCCAAUUAAGAAUGAGUCUUUGGUUCUGAUAAAGUAACCAUGGAGGUGAUGGAUAAUGAGUGUAGGUCCUUGCUCACACUUCUGGCCAUAUGAGCCCGGAGCCAGGGAGGUACUAUAAAAGGAAUGGGCUCCUGUAAUGGACUGUGACUGCAGUGGUGGUAUAUAGCAAGACUUCCGGUUUGCAGUAGGUUUAGAAGCCUAAAUAGUCUCCCUGGUUGUCUCUGCCAGGGCCACAAAUAGUUGUGCUGUGCAUCUCAAAAGUGUGGUCUGGGGAUCUGCAGCGUCACUGUCACCAUCACUUGGGAGGUUGUUAAGAAAUGCAUGUUAUCAGGCCCUACCCCACGCCUACUCAAUUUAGAAUCUGUAGGGCUAGGGGACCACUAAUCUUUAAGAAGUUGAUAUGGUUAGGCUUUAUGUCCACACCCAAAUCUCAUCUUGAAUUGUAAUUCCCAUAAUCCCCACCUUUCAAGGGAGAGACCAGGUGGAGGUAAUUGAAUUAUGGAGGCAGCUUCCCCCAUGCUGUUCUCAUGAUAGUGAGUUCUCACAAGAUGUGAUGGUUUUAUAAGGGGAUCUUGCCUCUUCGCUCAGCACUUCUUCCUGCCUCCUUGUGAGGAAAGUGCCUUGCUUCCCCCUUUGCCUUCUGCCAUGUUUGUAAGUUUUCUGAGGCUUCCCCAGCCAUGCUGAACUGUGAGUCAAUUAAACUUCUUUCCUUUAUAAAUUACCCAGUCUUGGGCAUUCUUUGUAGCAGUAUCCUUUAUAGCAGUAUGUAUAGCUGUAUGGACUAGUACAGAAGUUUUCCAGAUAAUUCUGUGCUCGGAAAAGUUUGGGAACCACAGCAGAACCUUGUUACUCAACAUGUGGUCUGUGGGCUGUGCAGCAUGGGCAUCACCUGGGGUCUUCUGAGAAAAGCCAGGUCUCAGGUCCUACCCAAGACCUGUGUAGCCAAAAUCUGCAUUUUAAUAUGACCCCCAGGUCAUUUAUGUGUACAUCACACUUUGAGAAGCACUGCACCAGAAAUCUUUUAACACUGUUCAUUACAUCCAUCCCAUGGAAGUAUCUUGUCUUGGGAUCCCGAGGGUGUGAGUUCUUCCGUCUUACUGGCUUUUUCCUGUCUGAUACAUGAUGUCCAUUUUAAAAAUUUUAUUUAUUUUAACUUUUUGAGGUAGAGUCUAACUUUGUCACCCAGGCUGGUGUGCAGUGGGGUGAUUUCGGCUCACUGCAACCUCCGUCUCCCGGAUUGAAACGAUUCUCCUGUCUCAGCCUCCUGAGUAGCUGGCAUCACGUGCUGGCCACCACGCCCGGUUAAUUUUUGUAUGUUUAGUAGAGACAGAGCUUCACCAUGUUGGCCAGGCUGGUCUCAAACUUCUGAUCUCAAGUCAUCCACCUGCCUUGGCCUCCCAAAGUGCUGGGAUUACAGGUGUCCUCCACUGCGCCCAGCCCAGUGUUCAUUUUUCAAUUGUUUGACUUAGUAUAAACACUCUCCAUCAUUCCUGCCUUCUGUGACAACAGACUGUGCGUGUUUCCUCUGUCUACCUUUCAGGCAUUCCUUUUAAGUUUCAUGCAGCUACUCCUCCUCCCUCCUCCCUUCUCUUUCUCUUCUUUCUUCUUUUCUUCUUUCUUCCUCUUCCUUCUUCUUCCUCUUCCUCCUGUUCUUCCUCCUCCUCCUCUCUUCUUUCUUCUUCUCCUCCCUUCUCCCUUUUUGGAAAGAGGACUUACUGUGUCAUCCAGCCUAGAGUGCAGUGGCUGAAUCAUGGCUCAGUGCAGCCUUGCUCUCAAAGGCUCAAGCAAUCCUCCCAUCUCAUCUUCCAGAAUAGCUAGGUUACAGGCAUGCACCACCAUGCCUGACUAAUUUUUUAAAAAUUUUUUUGUAAAGAUUGGGGGUGGCAGGGGGUCUCUCUGUUGCCCAGGCUGGUCUCAAACUCCUGGGCUGCAGCGAUCCUCUUGCCUCAGCCUUCCAAAUUGUUGGGAUUACAGGCAUGAGCCACCAUGCCUGGCCUCCUCUUCCUCUUAAAAAUCAAUGAUUCUGUGGCCCGUGGAUCUGAUUUCCACUGAUACUCUGAUAACUCCUGUUUUUAUGUCCAGGUGUAUCUCCUGGUCUCCAGGUGCCAUAUGUCCACUGCCUAUUGGACAUUUCCAUGUGUGUAAACACCUCAAACUCAACAUGUUAAACCUUUUUCUAAUCCCCACACUUGCGGUUCCUUCUGUGUGCUCCAUUUACCUUAUUGCUCAAAUCAAGAGCCUAGAAGCCAUCCUUGAUUCCUCUCUAUUGUGUAAUCCACACAUCCAAUCAUCCAUUGAGUCCUGUUGGCAUUUAUCUCGUAAAUAC
rnacentral:lncRNA from 1 species